rnacentral:sRNA from 1 species
GGCCUUUGAUGUAGUCAACAGUAAGAUAACACGUAACGGAAGUCUCUCAGUCUCUCUUAAGUCUCCGCAGAGUCUGUUUUAUUUAACAAAUACAUAUACCUUCAUUGGACAGCACACUGUCCGAGGUAUUUUAUGUGAUGUGUUUGAAUCAAGCCGAACUGAUUUUAUUCUCGCUAAUCCUAACAGUCAGAAGCCACAGAAAAGUAUCUUCAAAUACUAUUUCCAGCCAAGCGAUUGGGAUUAUGUCUCCCCUGAUGGUACAGACAUAACACACAGUAAACCAGUCAUGCUUGAGGUGGAAGACACCACG